GUCCGGCCGGCUACAGGACACAGAAACUCCGCGCGGAACAGAAAUUCUGUUCCGCGCGGAGUUUCUGUGUCCUGUAGCCGGCCGGAC
rnacentral:miRNA from 1 species